ACCUUGGUAGUGUAGUGGUCAAGAAACUUGCCUGGUAAACAGGAGGGCAUGGGUUCAAUCCCAGCCAAGGUA
rfam:Asian citrus Psyllid, Diaphorina citri - Florida Strain, whole genome shotgun sequence.